rnacentral:lncRNA from 1 species
CCCACGCCUUCAAGGUUCUCAAAGAAGCAACUUUGAGCCCCCCAAUUUCCCACCCUAGGUGCCCUCUUUCACCUUAGAGUCAGCAUCUCCUUAGGUUCCUGUUGGAUGAAGGGACAAAACACAGAGCCGCUCAGCUCCCGUCGUCCUUGCUCCUACCUCAGCCUGGAAACGGCCAGGGCUUCCUUUUUGAAGACUGUGUCCCCUUUCCUCGACUCCUCCUUGACCUCCCAGUAUCAGAGCCCCCAAGAGACCCUCAAGCACAAUCCCUCAUAAGUCUGUUUAUAUCCAGCCCUUUCUUAAGGAUUGUAGCCUCUGGCACUACCCCCACCCCAGCAGACCGACAGUCCAGGGGACCCCCACAAUCUCCGGGUUCACAACCUGCCAACCCCCUACCCCAAGACAGUCUCCCCAACUCACAUUCUCCAAAGGAGAGACCAGCACCCAGGGCAGGGGCUCCAGGGAAUUCACUGCCCCUCACCUGACAGAAAGAGGCUCAGCAGCGACACAGCCGUGAACAGGAAGCGGAUGGAACAGACCUCCCUGGGGAACCGG